rnacentral:rRNA from 1 species
AAAUUGAAGAGUUUGAUCAUGGCUCAGAUUGAACGCUGGCGGCAGGCCUAACACAUGCAAGUCGAACGGUAACAGGAAGCAGCUUGCUGCUUUGCUGACGAGUGGCGGACGGGUGAGUAAUGUCUGGGAAACUGCCCGAUGGAGGGGGAUAACUACUGGAAACGGUAGCUAAUACCGCAUAACGUCGCAAGACCAAAGAGGGGGACCUUAGGGCCUCUUGCCAUCGGAUGUGCCCAGAUGGGAUUAGCUAGUAGGUGGGGUAAUGGCUCACCUAGGCGACGAUC